UCCAAGAAGAUGACACAGCUCAAAAUAAAAAAUUAGGUAUAUUCUCGUAAAGUCAAGUGAGCCAUGACAUAUGAGCUCUUAUUGUGAGCACACAGGACGGUGGCAUCUUUCUAAGGUUUUUUUUAUUUUCCCAGCAAUCAGUACAACCAAGUCAUCGUUAUAAGGCAUCGCCCUCUUUUGCCCACCCCCCUAGCACCAGGUGUGGCCACUAGCCUAUAUGAAGGCCCAAAAUUGUGUGUUCCUUUCUGCUCUGACAAUGGCAUGCCCAUUCGUGCGAGAUGUGGUGGAUGAAGAAGCACUUGUGCUGAGGAGAGCCUUCAGGCGAGAAAGGGUCUUCAGGGACCGGUUGGACCCACUGGCCUUCCCUGAUGACCAUCUAUAUGAAGGAUACAGGUUUUCUGCAGAUGGCAUCAGGUAUCUAUGCAGACUACUGGGUCCCAGGAUUAAGCACCGCACUGCACGGAGCCAUGCACUGAGUGUGGAGCAAAUGGUUUGUGUGGCCUUGCGCUUUUUUGCUUGUGGAGCCUUCCUGUACUCAGUGGGGGAUGCAGAACAGCUGAACAAGGCCACAAUUUGCCGCACAAUAAGGAGUGUGUGUCUGGCUAUCAAAGCAUUAGCAGAUGUCUUCAUCUCCUUCCCUGGCCACAGAAGACUCUGUGACAUCAAAGAGGAGUUCUAUAGGAUUGCAGAUGGUCUGCAAUGCUGACUGUGUGAUCAGCAAUGUUGUGGCAAAAUGGCCUGGCUCAGUCCAUGACUCCAGAAUCUUUCGGGCCUCUGAAAUCUAUCAGUGCCUAUCACAAGGUGAAUUCUCUGGUGUGUUGCUGGGAGACAGGGGGUAUGGCUGCCAGCCUUUUCUCCUGACACCUUUCACAGACCCCAGGAAGCACAGCAGGCCUACAACCAUGCCCAUGCCAGGACCAGGGCCAGAGUUGAAAUGACCUUUGGCCUCCUGAAGGCACGCUUUCACUGCCUUCACAAAUUAAGGGUCAGCCCUGUUAGGGCAUGUGAUAUUACUGUGGCUUGUGCUGUCCUCCACAAUGUGGCCUGCCUGAGGAAGGAGAGGGCCCCCAGAGUGCCACCAGCCAUGGACUGGGACAAUCCGGCAAUCUUCCCUGAUGACGACAGUGGUCGGCUGCUGAGGGACCAAUAUGUGUUGAAUUAUUUUAGUUAGUAUGUGUGCUUUCAAUUUUGGUUAAAUAUGUCCUGCGGUGGCAGAGGAAUUUGGGUU